rnacentral:lncRNA from 1 species
UUUUCUCUUUUGCUCAUUUGGAAACUUAAACAAAAAAAAUGUAACGAUAUAUUUGUUCAGUCUUGUAAAAAUUGGAUCAUUUCAAAUAAAAUUAUCAGUAAAACUAGAUUACUUCACAUUAUUCAUUUGUUUUUUGUUGGUGAAAUUAUAAACUCUCCUCUUUUGGUUGGUAAAACAGUUUCUUUGUCUGUUGCGAAAAUAGAGUUUGUCUUGAAAUAGCAUUUCUUGAUAUUUUAAACAAAUUAAUUUUUAAGCUCAAAAAUAGAGUUUAAAUACCAUUUUAUCAAGAAUUUUUUUUUAAAUAAUUUUAAACACUUGGUAUGUUUUAUAACUCAACAGAAAUAGUAUGCUAAUUUUUUAAAGAAAAGAAAACAUCUGUGAUGUUGCAUACCAUUUUAUACCAUUUGUUUUAUCAUAUCUCGUGUCAUCUUUUAUUACUGUUUUAAAAGUGCAAUGCUUGUGCUAGUAUGUUUUCUAAUAAAAUGUGUUUUUUUUU